rnacentral:rRNA from 1 species
UACGUAGGGGGCAAGCGUUGUCCGGAAUCAUUGGGCGUAAAGCGCGCGUAGGCGGCCCGGUAAGUCCGCUCUGAAAGUCCAGGGCUUAACCCUGGAAAGCGGGUGGAUACUGCCGGGCUAGAAUCCGGAAGAGGCGAGUGGAAUUCCUGGUGUAGCGGUGGAAUGCGCAGGAUAUCAGGAGGAACACCAAUGGCGAAAGGCAGCUCGCUGGGACGUUACUGACGCUGAGACGCGAAAGCGUGG